UACGAAGGGGGCUAGCGUUGCUCGGAAUUACUGGGCGUAAAGCGCACGUAGGCGGCUUUCUAAGUCGGGGGUGAAAUCCUGGAGCUCAACUCCAGAACUGCCUUCGAUACUGGAGAGCUUGAGUCCGGGAGAGGUGAGUGGAACUGCGAGUGUAGAGGUGAAAUUCGUAGAUAUUCGCAAGAACACCAGUGGCGAAAGGCGGCCUCAGCUG
rnacentral:rRNA from 1 species